rnacentral:rRNA from 1 species
GAUGAACGCUGGCGGCGUGCCUAAUACAUGCAAGUCGAGCGAACGGACGAGAAGCUUGCUUCUCUGAUGUUAGCGGCGGACGGGGGAGUAACACGUGGAUAACCUACCUAUAAGACUGGGAUAACUUCGGGAAACCGGAGCUAAUACCGGAUAAUAUUUUGAACCGCAUGGUUCAAAAGUGAAAGACGGUCUUUCUGUCACUUAUAGAUGGAUCCGCGCUGCAUUAGCUAGUUGGUAAGGUAACGGCGUACCAAGGCAACGAUGCAUAGCCGACCUGAGAGGGGGGUCGGCCACACUGGAACUGAGACGCGGUCCAGACUCCUACGGGAGGCAGCAGUAGGGAAUCUUACUCCAUGGGCGAAAGCCUGACGGAGCAACGCCGCGUGAGUGGUGAAGGUCUUCGGAUCGUAAAACUCUGUUAUUAGGGAAGAACAUAUGUGUAAGUAACUGUGCGCAUCUUGACGGUACCUAAUCAGAAAGCCACGGCUAACUACGUG